GACGAACGCUGGCGGCGUGCUUAACACAUGCAAGUCGAACGGAAAGGCCCUGCUUUUGUGGGGUGCUCGAGUGGCGAACGGGUGAGUAACACGUGAGUAACCUGCCCUUGACUUUGGGAUAACUUCAGGAAACUGGGGCUAAUACCGGAUAGGAGCUCCUGCUGCAUGGUGGGGGUUGGAAAGUUUCGGCGGUUGGGGAUGGACUCGCGGCUUAUCAGCUUGUUGGUGGGGUAGUGGCUUACCAAGGCUUUGACGGGUAGCCGGCCUGAGAGGGUGACCGGCCACAUUGGGACAGGGAUACGGCCCAGACUCCUACGGGGGGCAGCAGUGGGGAAUAUUGCACAAUGGGCGGAGGCCUGAUGCAGCAACGCCGCGUGCGGGAUGACGGCCUUCGGGUUGUAAACCGCUUUCGCCUGUGACGAAGCGUGAGGGACGGUAAUGGGUAAAGAAACACCGGCUAACUACGU
rnacentral:rRNA from 1 species